rnacentral:rRNA from 1 species
ACUGCUAUCGGGAUAGGACUAAGACAUGCUAGUCAAGCGCUUUCUAGCUAAUGUGAAAGCGCGGCAUACAGCUCAGUAACACGUGGCUAACCUGCCCUUGGGACGGAGACACCCCCGGGAAACUGGGGUUAAUUUCCGAUAGGUGAAAGAUUCUGGAAUGAAUUUUCGCUUAAAAGGCGUUUAUGUCAUGCUCAUAGGCGUUGCCCAGGGAUGGGGCCGCGACCGAUCAGGUUGUUGGUGAGGUAAUGGCUCACCAAGCCUUUUACCGGUACGGGCCGUGAGAGCGGGAGCCCGGAGAUGGGCACUGAGACAAGGGCCCAGGCCCUACGGGGCGCAGCAGUCGCGAAAACUUUGCAAUACACGAAAGUGUGACAAGGCUAUCCCGAGUGCCAUCCGCUGAGGAAGGCUUUUACCCAGUAUAAAUAGCUGGGAGAAUAAGGAGAGGGCAAGUCUGGUGUCAGCCGCCGCGGUAAUACCAGCUCUCCGAGUAGUGUGGAUGUUUAUUGGGCCUAAAGCAUCCGUAGCUUGCUAAGCAAGUCCCCUGUUAAAUCCACCGAUUCAAUCGGUGGAUUGCGGGGGAUACUGUUUGGCUAGGGGACGGGAGAGGCCGACGGUAUUUCCGGGGUAGGGGUGAAAUCCUAUAAUCCCGGGAAGACCACCAGUGGCGAAGGCUGUCGGCUAGAACGCGCCCGACGGUGAGGGAUGAAAGCUGGGGGAGCGAACCGGAUUAGAUACCCGGGUAGUCCCAGCUGUAAACGAUGCAGGCUAGGUGUUUGGGCGGCCACGAGCCGCUCUAGUGCCGCAGGGAAGCUGUUAAGCCUGCCGCCUGGGGAGUACGGCCGCAAGGCUGAAACUUAAAGGAAUUGGCGGGGGAGCACCACAAGGGGUGAAG